rnacentral:rRNA from 1 species
GGCCUACCAUGGUGGUAACGGGUAAGGGGUGGUUAGGGCACGACACCGGAGAGGGAGCCUGAGAAACGGCUACCACAUCCAAGGAAGGCAGCAGGCGCGCAAAUUACCCAAUCCCGACACGGGGAGGUAGUGACAAUAAAUAACAAUACAGGGCUCUUUUGGGUCUUGUAAUCGGAAUGAGUACAAUUUAAAUCUCUUAACGAGGAACAAUUGGAGGGCAAGUCUGGUGCCAGCAGCCGCGGUAAUUCCAGCUCCAAUAGCGUAUAUUAAAGUUGUUGCAGUUAAAAAGCUCGUAGUUGAAUUUCGGGAUCAAUAUGUCGGUCGUGCCUUCGGUACGUACUGGUAUCAUUGGUUUCUCCUUUCUGACGAACCAUGAUGUCAUUAAUUUGGUGUUAUGGGGAGUUAGGACUGUUACUUUGAAAAAAUUAGAGUGUUUAAAGCAGGCUUUAGCUUGAAUACAUUAGCAUGGAAUAAUGAAAUAGGACGUUCGAACCUAUUUUGUUGGUUUCUAGGAUCAACGUAAUGAUUAAUAGGGAUAGUUGGGGGCAUUAGUAUUCAAUUGUCAGAGGUGAAAUUCUUGGAUUUAUUGAAGACUAACUACUGCGAAAGCAUUUGCCAAGGAUGUUUUCAUUAAUCAAGAACGAAAGUUAGGGGAUCGAAGACGAUCAGAUACCGUCGUAGUCUUAACCAUAAACUAUGCCGACUAGGGAUCGGAUGAUGUUAAUUUUUUAAUGACUCAUUCGGCGCCUUACG